AACGAACGCUGGCGGCAGGCUUAACACAUGCAAGUCGAGCGGAGAGAGGUAGCUUGCUACUGAUCUUAGCGGCGGACGGGUGAGUAAUGCUUAGGAAUCUGCCUAUUAGUGGGGGACAACAUUUCGAAAGGAAUGCUAAUACCGCAUACGUCCUACGGGAGAAAGCAGGGGAUCUUCGGACCUUGCGCUAAUAGAUGAGCCUAAGUCGGAUUAGCUAGUUGGUGGGGUAAAGGCCUACCAAGGCGACGAUCUGUAGCGGGUCUGAGAGGAUGAUCCGCCACACUGGGACUGAGACACGGCCCAGACUCCUACGGGAGGCAGCAGUGGGGAAUAUUGGACAAUGGGCGCAAGCCUGAUCCAGCCAUGCCGCGUGUGUGAAGAAGGCCUUAUGGUUGUAAAGCACUUUAAGCGAGGAGGAGGCUACUUUAGAUAAUACCUAGAGAUAGUGGACGUUACUCGCAGAAUAAGCACCGGCUAACUCUGUGCCAGCAGCCGCAGUAAUAC
rnacentral:rRNA from 1 species